AGAGUUUGAUCAUGGCUCAGGAUGAACGCUGGCGGCGUGCUUAACACAUGCAAGUCGAACGUGAGGAUAGCAAUAUCUGAAAGUGGCAAACGGGUGAGUAACACGUAGAUAACCUGCCUCGGAGUGGGGGAUAACCACGGGAAACUGUGGCUAAUACCGCACGGUCCUAUAAAGAUGGGAGUCUUAAUAGGUAAAGGUUUACUGCUUCGAGAGGGGUCUGCGUCCGAUUAGCUAGUUGGUAGGGUAAAGGCCUACCAAGGCGAUGAUCGGUAGCUGGUCUGAGAGGACGAUCAGCCACACGGGAACUGAGACACGGUCCCGACUCCUACGGGGGGCAGCAGUGAGGAAUAUUGGACAAUGGGCGCAAGCCUGAUCCAGCAACGCCGCGUGGAGGAUGAAGGCCUUCGGGUUGUAAACUUCUUUUAGUGGGGACAAGGAAGGAUGGUACCCACAGAAUAAGUCACGGCUAACUACGUGCCAGCAGCCGCGGUAAUACGUAGGUGACGAGCGUUAUCCGGAAUUAUUGGGCGUAAAGCGUACGCAAGCGGUUGAUAAAGUCUGACGUGAAAUUUCUUGGCUUAACCGAGAGGGGUCGUUGGAAACUAAUCGGCUUGAGGCGAUGAGAGGAGUGCGGAAUUCCCGGUGUAGUGGUGGAAUGCGUAGAUAUCGGGAGGAACAUCAGUGGCGAAAGCGGCACUCUGGCAUUAGCCUGACGCGCAGGUACGAAAGCGUGGGGAGUGAACGGGAUUAGAUACCCCGGUAAUCCACGCUGUAAACGAUGGACACUAGGUGUAGGUAGA
rnacentral:rRNA from 1 species